rnacentral:rRNA from 1 species
GAUGAACGCUGGCGGCGUGCCUAAUACAUGCAAGUCGAGCGAACAGACGAGGAGCUUGCUCCUCUGACGUUAGCGGCGGACGGGUGAGUAACACGUGGAUAACCUACCUAUAAGACUGGGAUAACUUCGGGAAACCGGAGCUAAUACCGGAUAAUAUAUUGAACCGCAUGGUUCAAUAGUGAAAGACGGUUUUGCUGUCACUUAUAGAUGGAUCCGCGCCGCAUUAGCUAGUUGGUAAGGUAACGGCUUACCAAGGCAACGAUGCGUAGCCGACCUGAGAGGGUGAUCGCCCCCACUGAAACUGGGCAACGGUCCAGACUCCUACGGGAGGCAGCAGUGGGAAUUCUUCCGCAAGGGGCGAAGGCCUGACGGAGCAACGCCGCGUGGGGGAUGAAGUUCUUCGGUUCGUAAAACUCUGUUAUUGGGAAAGAACAAAUGUGUAAGUAACUAUGCACGUCCGACCGGACCCUAAUCAGAAGGCCACGCCUAACUACGU